AGUGAACGCUGGCGGUAGGCCUAACACAUGCAAGUCGAACGGCAGCACAGUAAGAGCUUGCUCUUACGGGUGGCGAGUGGCGGACGGGUGAGGAAUACAUCGGAAUCUACUUUUUCGUGGGGGAUAACGUAGGGAAACUUACGCUAAUACCGCAUACGACCUACGGGUGAAAGCAGGGGAUCUUCGGACCUUGCGCGAUUGAAUGAGCCGAUGUCGGAUUAGCUAGUUGGCGGGGUCAAGGCCCACCAAGGCGACGAUCCGUAGCUGGUCUGAGAGGAUGAUCAGCCACACUGGAACUGAGACACGGUCCAGACUCCUACGGGAGGCAGCAGUGGGGAAUAUUGGACAAUGGGCGCAAGCCUGAUCCAGCCAUACCGCGUGGGUGAAGAAGGCCUUCGGGUUGUAAAGCCCUUUUGUUGGGAAAGAAAAGCAGCAGGUUAAUACCCCGCUGUUCUGACGGUACCCAAAGAAUAAGCACCGGCUAACUUCGUG
rnacentral:rRNA from 1 species